rnacentral:lncRNA from 1 species
CCAAUAUCAUAAUCAUAUUUCUCUUAAUCUUUAAUGAUGAUUCAAUUAAUAAAAUAUUAAUUUUUUAAAAAUUUUUAUCCUACUUUAAUCAAAGACUUUCUGAAUCAUUAAUCAAUUAGAAUAAGUAGAAUACAAUCUCCUCUUACCAGGAGUGAUCGAUUCCAUAUUGGCCUACUCACAAUCUUCAUACAUAUUCCAUCAUAUCCAGAUUAUUCCGUACAUGACUAAGUCAUGAAUAAGUAUAAACCAAAAUAUGGAUUCAUAUAUACAAGGUUAUAUGGUAGUCUUAAGUCAAAGGAUUACAUGCACAACUCCCACUAUAAGAAAAUAUCUUUUGACAGAUAAGUUGAUUCCAUAAGAUGUUUCUUAAGUCAGAUCAAUUCAGUGAACUCAUUCUCUAAUGAGUACCCACAUCCUUAUAUUAGUAUCUCACACAAGUGGCUUAUGAGAUCAGCCACCCUCUCUAUCGAGCAUACAUAGAAAAUACC